CCUACGGGAGGCAGCAGUGAGGAAUAUUGGUCAAUGGGCGCGAGCCUGAACCAGCAAAGUAGCGUGAAGGAGGACUGCCCUACGGGGUGGAAACUGCUGUUAUAAAGGAAUAAAGUGAGGCACGUGUGCCGUUUUGUAUGUACUUUAUGAAUAAGGAUCGGCUAACGCCGGGCCAGCAGCCGCGGUAAUACGGAGGAUCCGAGCGUUAUCCGGAUUGAUUGGGUUUAAAGGGAGCGUAGAUGGGUUGUUAAGUCAGUUGUGAAAGUUUGCGGCUCAACCGGAAAAUUGCAAUUGAUCCUGGCAGUCUUGAGUCCAGUUGAGGUAGGCGGAAUUC
rnacentral:rRNA from 1 species